rnacentral:tRNA from 1 species
GGGCGGGUGGUGGAACCGGCAGACACAUUGGACUUAAAAUCCAAGGGGGCGUAGAAACCCCAUACGGGUUCGAGUCCCGUCCCGCCCACCA